UGACCCUUGUUGGGUGGAUAGGUCCAAUAUAUACUGCUGCUUCGUCACCAUGAUGAGCUAAAAAGGAUUCGGACUGCAUUUUUGAAUAGGUAAGGUUGAUGCGCAUGCACCGCCUCUUCUUCUUCUUUGGCUGAUGUCUCUAGCAGAAACAGCGCCACGCACAGGCCCACGAUAUGUACUACAGCCUUUCCACAACUGGAUGCGGUCUCGCAACGGAUCGUCAUUUACGGAGAAAUACCCGACAGUACGCCACAGAAAACCGGAUCGUUUUCGUACGUGCGGACACUUCUCAAUACAGUCCCAGUCACGUCUGCAGCUACGGGCAGCGACGAGUCCACCCCAAGGAGCUUCCACCGAGCGGCUGAGGAAGGUUAUCUUGAGGGAAAGGAAUGCACAACAGGGGCAUAAUCGAUACAAUACGGAGGAGCGGGGUCCCACAGGAGAGAUUCCCCAAAUGCACUUAGAGGCUGUGUUGUUGACAAAAUAUGUUGAGAGAAGGAGGCUGCAUGACAAGUUCAUGUAACCAUGCACACACAGUAGCGGUUUCAAUGAUUUUUCUUACAAAAACAAAAUACAAUUCCCAUGAAAUUA